rnacentral:lncRNA from 1 species
CCCAAAGAAAAAAACAAAUGUUACCCAAUAGGCAAACAAUGCUGAGAGUUCACUUCCUCUAACUCUGUAGUUAAGUUACUCACUCAGUAUAACAUCACCCUCCUGCCAGGGGUUGAAGUCAGGAAGUAGUUUAUUUUCGCUGAAACUGAAGGGGGAAGUUAAAGAGAAAAAUAGCUGCAACUUGGUCAAUUCAGGAAAACCAGGUACGAAAAAAGAGGAGCAAGUUAAAGGGAAAGCCAGCUCGGAUUUGCUCACCAGUAAAAGGCAAAAAUCCCAGUGUUAUUCAUCUGCAUUUGGUGUGAAAGACAAAAGCUCAACUGGGAUCUGAGGCUUUCUGUGUCAGAGGGCAAGGAGUCAAUGGGGUUAUGAGGAAGUAAGACCACUUGAGACAUCAAAGAAAAGUAGAUCAAAUCACUAGACUCCUCCAAACAGGAGUGGGUGAAGACAAAAAGUGGAGAGAAUCCAGAGGGAAGAGAGGAGUAGGGAAAAUGGUGGAAAGGGAAGGUUUUUGAGAUGGAAGGCAGAGAAUGGGAACAAAAGAAGAAAAAGCUGUUUGUUUCAAAUCAAUAUUCUCCAAGAGGAUGUCUUGUUUCCCCAGGGAUAUUCUGAGGGACUCACAGGAUCAGAGCUGCGACACUUCUAACAUAUGAAUUCUCUCAAUUCUGAUGCCCUUUGACCUCUGCCACACAAUGCCAAGACAAACCCAGACCCCAGGCCCUGGAAACAGAGGAGGGGCAGGACGUGAUAGAGCUUCAGCAACAUGGAGAGGAGAUAGCCGGUCUGGCUAGGAUGGAAGAAAUGUACAUGGAGAAGAAAGACAGAAGAACCAUCACUGAGCACUAAACUAAUCAGCCAUAAUGUGUAAAUUGACUGGCAAGCCUAUCACCACCUUGAUAACAGAUGACAUUAAAGAGAAAGUAUCAAUGUGAGGAUUAAAUGGGAUGAAAAAUAAAACAUCUGUCGGAGUGCCUGGAAUAUGAGCCUAGUAGAGCACCCAGCACACAGUAGGCUCUUAAUACAUGCUUGGGAUGAUUGAGGCAUUUUCUUCCACCAUAUUCCAUGAUCUUCUAGCCCUGGGGGUGCAGAGAGAUUACCUGGCCAAGAAGACUAGGGGUAAAGUACUUUUCUUACCUGGUAAGUGGUUUGGGAGUUAGGAAAACAUGAUGUCUGGCCAACCCCUUUCCUAAAGGAGUUUAUGUAUCCCAAUGCCCCACCCACCACCCGCCUCCACCACACACCCAGCGUUUGUUGCUUGUAAUGGGUCAAUACAUCAAUGAAUUGAUGAAUUGUAAAGGAAAAAAAAUACAUGCUUGGAAAAUGAAUUUAACUAAACAAGAUUGAAUGUAGCCCAGCUCUUUACUCACAGAGCUUGAAGGCUCAACUCGCCACAACCCCCUGGGGAGAGAGGAAAGACAUGGCAUUAGUUCCAGCGCUGUUAGUGCUAGCUAUUGCAACAUCAGAAGUAUCAAAAUUCAACUGUCUGGUGCCAAUGGCAAAACCAAUGCUUACCAAAUACAUUAUAAUAAUAAAUAUAACUUUAUAGGUCUCACAGAUUUAUUUAUGUCUGCAACUCUAAACCUGCUCCCAGCCCCCAGUCUCCAGAAACCAAGCUAGCUGGCCUUUUGGAGAUGAAAAUAGCAUCAGGCAUCAAGGGUGUGCAUUUAUGAGCAGGACAGGAGGGUGGACUAGCACCUGAACCUUAAUGCAUUCCUUAAAAGUUUUCAAUGGGAGCAUGAGUCAGGGGUGCCACCUGGAGAGAACCGUUCUCAGUAAAAGAAGGACAAUGUUUACCUUCAACUACCCAAUUUUUUGCUUCCAGGAGAUGUAACACACAGAUUGCCUGUAACCAUGGCAAUCAGCUCAGCUGUGAGCACCCUCAUUUAUUCAAAGCACAGAGGCAGUAUAAGAGAGAAAAUACUAUUACAAAUAGGAACAAUAAGAUUUAAUGUCAGAUGCCAAAAUAUGAUUGGUUCAGUAUUUGAUUCCCAGCCAUAUGAAGCACAUUACACUUUCUUGGUUUCAUCUGCUCUUUCCUGAUCCUCAAGGGUAAUAUUAAUUUCAAUUUCUUCCAGAAACAAUGAUUGACUUGUUUCUAGCACUAUCUUGGGAGUGAAAUAAAAAUUUUGGAAAAAUACAUUCUCAGCAAUGCACUGUGUGCAACAGAGUUGAGAUAACCAUGCCAAAAACUAUAAGGAAAUGUCAACAUACACUUAAAAAAAUAACUUUUGAUGGAGUUUUUUUAGGGAGGUAUUCAACUUCUCGUGAAUAAGUAAUAAAGGAUGUAUACUAUAUACUGUAUUUACUGGUUCUUCUCCCUAAUUUCAGUCUCUUUACACUCCUGGAAGAAAAAAAGUAUUAUGGAGGCUACUUUACAAUCUUCUAAAAUAGAGUAACAGAAAACCUGUUCUUGAUUUUCAAGGAAAUUACUUAUAACUCAUCAAGUUACUAAACUUCAGUUAUUGCAAAAUUUAUUAACUGUAUCCUGAGAUUUCCACUGAUAAAACUCAACUAAUGUAUUUCACAGGUACACAAAUAUCCAAGAUUGGAAAGAAGAAAGAAAAUGACGACAGAAUUUUGCAGUCUACAAGGCAAACACUGCCAUUCAUGUAGUUAUGGAGUUCCUACUAUGUGCAGACAAUGGGAAACUUUACGAAGGUGAGCAGACAGGGAUCUCACACUCCUACUAUGUGUAGAGCAAUGGGAAAUGUGUGGCAAUAAGGUAAAGGUCUUUUAUUUCAAAAUAUUUUAGCAUAGAAGGAGAAAUGUCUACUUGAACAAUGAACAAAAUACCUUAUCGAAACAAGUCUGUAGAAAUCUGUUUAAUUAGAAAAGCAUAAAAGUUAUUACUCUUAGCUGAGUGGUAACUGAUUUGAUUCAAGUUGUCUAAAAUUUUCAUUGCAGAUUUUGAAGCUUGAUAAAGCCAUAAUUUGAAGACUACUUCAUUUCCUUAAUGCUCAACCUAUUUAUCACUUGUAAUUCAGAAAGGAUUUUUAAAAGACAAGAAAUAAUUUUUUAAAUGUUAUGCAUGUGCCUUUUAAAAAAUUCCUUUUAGCCUUGUGCCUCCCACUAAAACUUCGUUUCUCAAGUUCCUUGGCCCAGGCUGUAAGUGACAACUAGCAAUCCCAUUCCUCUGCCUUAUAAAGUCUUGGAAGAAAACAAAUUCAAGAUCACUUUCCCCCCAGCCACUUAAGAGAAAGAGAUAGAUUUUAGGGUAAUGAUUAGAGGCAUCUAAGACCUACUACAGUAUUUCUAACCAUGAGAAACCAUUACUAUUUUAAAAUAAUGGUGUGUAGAGGAUUGGUCACUAUUCCUUUAGUAAUGAAAUUUACUAUUGCAAAAUUUUCUUGCUAAUGCUAGUUAUCAACUACUUAUCAAGAAAAUCAAGUGACAACAUUCAUACCAAUCCCUUUAAUUUCAGUAAGCCAAAACCAACAAGACUUAUUCACCUGUCACUUGGCAUUACUUUCUCCUUCUGUCAAAGAAGCCUCAGGGUUUUUUUCACUUAGGCAUUUCCUUAAUAAUAACUAUUCUAAUAUCCAAAUUGCAUAUACUAGUCAUUGUUGGGUAGCUAUCCCCAUAACCUGAAUACUUCCAGGCUUCGUUCCUAUGUGAAGUCUUAGUAAUGUUACCGUCCAAACUACGGCAGCCCUUUACCCUCCUCAUCACCAAACUACGGCAGCCCUUUACCCUCCUCAUCAUGACUGGAGGAGCUCAGCAUGCUCUCAAGCCGCCUUCCAUCUGUUCUAGGCAUCCCACGGUGGCUUCUCCAGAGAGCUCAGAAAUAUGUCUGCUCCUGUUCCCAUUUUCCUGCUCUUUCCUCCAGGAACCUCGACGUAGCCUGUUCCCAAUGCCCUCUGUGGAAUCAGCCAGGUCCAUGCCACAAGUAUGAAUUGUUUCCAGUGCGGCAGUCCUGGGAGUGCCUGAGCCACAAGCCAGUGUCCCCUACUCAGUUGUGCCCUGUGGGGACUGAAGCAGGACUAUAUUCUCACAGGCUCUCCUAAAAGCUGGGCUGCCAGCUUCUAGCUCUACUCCUUUCUCAAAGUGGCCCAGGCCAUCUCUCAGACCAAGGGUAAAUGCUAUGCCAGUUCCACCUGUUGUCUUUGUGUGCAUAAAUCUCAUUCUUUGUGCUUUAUCUCAAAAAAAAAAUCAACUCAUAGGAUUAUAAUCUCCUGAAGAGAUUCCACAGCCCACCAGUCCUACAAAGUCAGACAUAGAGGGCCAGUUUAGGCAUAUAUAUAUAUACACACACACACACACACACACACACAUUUAUAUAUAAACAUAUAUAUGUAAACUCUACAUGUGUGUGCAUAUAUAUAUACAUACACAUAUAGAGAGAGUUUAUGUUUAUAUAUACAUAUAAAUUAUAUAUAGAAUUUCUAUAGAAAUACAAACUAUAUAUAGAAUUUAUAUAGACAUAUAUAAAUGAUAUGUCUAUAUAAACAUAUAUAUGAACUCUGUCUCUCUCUAUAUAUAUAUAUUUUAUAUAUAUAUUAUAUAUAUAUAUUUUAUAUAUAUGUAUUUUAUAUAUAUAUAUAUAAAACUCAUGUUAUAUAUGACAAAUCCCAUAUAUAAUAAAUCAGUGGUGGGGUAUGGUAAUUCAAAAAAAUGAAUAUGGUUUCAGAUGGAAAUUAAUUUAUAUGGCCAAGACUGUUAAUUAGGCUUUUGUUGCCUUUAACCUAAGAGUAAGGCCAGCAUCUGUGGUUAUGAGCAAAUACUUAAGGCUAUGGUAGCUGCAAACACUUGCAGCCCUGGGUCGAAGGACAAAGGCUAGAAUAAAUUCCCUACCAAACGCUCAGAAGUGAUAUUAUGCAAAGAAGAUGUAUAUUUUAAUAAAUAUUUGUGGAAUGCCUAUUACUUGCCAGGAACUAAGGACACAAAAGGAAUUAAAGCACCAGGUCAGUCCCAAAACAGCAUGAAAUUUGCACCCAGGCAGAUCUGGGUUCAAGCCCUAGUUCUGUCCCUUGCUAUUGCUUCUUCUAUGACCUUAAGAAUCUUCAAGAUGGAGUUCUCAAGAGGCACAAGUAUGACAGUGUACAUGGAAUUACUUGCCAUUAGCACAGAUGUUUGUCGUGUAUUCAUUUAUGAGUAAAUAAUUAUUGAGUGACAACUAUAUCCCAGGCAUUGUUCCAAGAAUUAGAGUUACAGCAGUAGACAAGAAAGAAUGUCUCAUAAUAAUGAAAUGAAGCUAACUUUAUUACAUUUAUAUCACAGUGAAAUCAACCAGGUCAAAGGAAAUGAUUCUUACCCUGUGUCACUCCAAAAGAUCUUAUCCAAAAUAAAAUGAUGUAUUUUUUAAUUUCCAAAAAUAGAUUAAAUUAAGUUGAGGUCUCUACCUGUACAGUGGCAGGAGAGAUGAAUCAGCACCUUAACAAUUUAUUUUGCUCACCUCCUCCUUCAUUCUGUUCUCUACUCUUUCCCUCAAUUGGUAGUUUUUGUCCCUGGAUGGCCUCUCCUCACACUUUUGUGUGGACAGACAUGAAUGUUCAGUUUUGUGUGUAGUGUGUGUGUGUGUGUGAGAGAGAGAGAGAGAGAGAAAGAUAACUGAGAGUGUGCACGUGUGUCUGCAAGAACAAUGGUAGAAAUCCAUGAUCCUUUGAAGAAAUUUAACCUGGGUUAAUUACUCAAAAUCCUUAUAUUCAGAACCUUCCAUAUUGAAGCUUCCCUGAUCUUUCUCUGCUCCAAUAGCUCAUAGCAAUGCCUGAAUGCUUUGUUUCUUAAAGAGGAGUUUAUAUUUAUAGAGAAGUUGUAAAGAGUCUCCAUAUACCUGCACCUAAUUCCCCUGUUAUCAGGAAUUUGCACUAGUAUGGCACAUUUGUUAUCAUUAAUGAACCAAAACGGAUAUUAUUAUUGGCUAAAGUUCAUGCUUCAUCUAGGUUUCCCAACUUCCCUGAGGUCCUUUUCUUGUGCCAGAAUCCCAUCCAGGAGACCACAUUACAUUUAGUCCUCAUGACUCUUAGACUCUUCUUCUUGGCUGUGAUAGUUUCUCAAACUUUUCUUGAUUUUGAUGACCCUGACAGUUUGAGAAGUAUUGGUCAGAAAUUUUUGUAGAAUGUCUACUGGUUGGAAUUUGUCUGGGGUUUUUCUCAUGAUGAAACUGAGGUCAUGGGUUUUUGGGAGGAAGACCACAGAGGCAAAGUGCCAUUCUCUUCCCAUCAUACCAAAGGUACAGGCUAUCAACAUGACUAACUUAUCAUUAUUGAUUUUUACCAUGAACACCAGGCUGAGAUAGUCUGAACAUCCUUUUUAACAGAGAUUUUUACCAAUUAUUAUAUUUGUAUUCCCAAACUGCUUCAAAGAUAUUUAUCAAGAAAUCUCAAAAUAGCCUCUUAUUUUUACCUAAAAUUCAUUCAUCCCUUAAUUUUCACUGAGAAAAUAUAUUGAGUCUACUAUCAAAUGCCAGGCACUGAGGAUACAGGCAUAAAUAAAACAUGUUCCUACUUUCAAGAGCUCAUGGCCCAGUCUAAUGCAAGAGAGACUUGUAAAAAUGUAAAGAAGGAUCCAAUGAGUUAAGGGACACUGUUUAAGGAAUAAAAGGAACCCUGAGAGGUAUAGUUAUCAUUUCCGUGAGGAGCUAGGAGGAGGGAAAAUCUCCUUCCUAGAGAAAGGGACUCCUAAGCUGAUCUUGAAAGGUACAUAGGAUUCUGCCAAGCAGAAGAGAAAUCAUGUGCAAAGCAGGUGUGUGUUCAUGAAAGCUGGUUUUAGAGAAGUGGCGGGGAAGGAGGAUGAAGUGGUAGGUAGAGAUCGUGGAGAGCCCAGUUUGCAUUUUGAAUUGUGUGGCUCUCAGGCUGCUAGAGUCAAAGUAUUAGAAGGUAAAGGCAGGCUUCUAGCAGGUUCCACAUCUGAAGCAGGAGUAAUAGUUGGUCAAGUAGUCUUCCCUGAAGGCUUGGAGACAGGGCACUAGAGUAGCACACCUCUAUACACAGAUAGGAUCUGUGCCUCAGCUCUGGCACAGAUUUCUCUCUCUCUCUCUCUCUAACACACACACACACACGCACACGCACACACACAAACAUACACACACACAGAGGGAGAGACAUAUUUGCCACAUAUCCAUUCUCUAAGAGCUGCCAACCCAGACUGACAAAUCUUUAGAAUUUACUACUUUGUCUCUUUUUUCUACACCUUGGCAGUGGAUGGAGCAGCAUCAGCCAUGGCUCAGGAAUGCAGCCGCCUACUUUCCUGUUAUCAGCAGGCAUUCCUGUGGUUACACUAUUCCUGCUUAGCUUAUCAAUGGCCCUUGGGAACACAGAGUCAGCACCCAAAGAGGGCCAGAACAGCCUGCUUGUUGGACGCCCAUCCACACCAUGAGGCUUUCCUGGAUGUAGAGGGAAGUUACUGUUCCUCGGGAAAACCCCUCUUCCCAGCUGGUAUGAAUGCUUUAGCUUAAGAAUCUGCCUCAUGUGUUUCAUACUCAGAGACACGACCCCCUAAUCUUUAUGUGUGAAAACUUCCCGUUGAUACCAAAAGGAGCUUUUCCUAGGAUAUCACUGACCCAGGGUAAGACACAGUGAGUGAAGUCUGUGCAUUUUGUUAGAAGAUUAAAUAUCCAUUAUAUCCCCCCAUAUUCUUCCUCACCCCAACAUAUCUCUUUGUCUCCAAGUUUUAGAACUUCUAGAAUAUAAAAUAUAAUGUAUGAUAUAUAGUCAUAUAACAUCUAGUAUUCCCUCAAUAGCAUUCCAUCAUCAGAAUAAAGUACAAAAUCUGCCAUCCAUCAUGAGAGACCUUUUAGGAUCAGGAUGCUGCCCUGCUCUCUAGCCUCAUCUGUCCUCACUACCUGCUUGGCCAUUGAUGCUCCAUCUUCCUGAACUACACCCCAGAAACUCAGCAAUCAGGCCAUGUUCUCUCUUAUAGCAUUGCUUUUGACAUGCUGGUCUCUCUGCUUGGGUUCCUUUCUUUUUGGGAUUUUUCCAUCCAUCUUUGUCUGGCUAACUCCUGAUCUGCCUGCACCAUCUUUCGGAACUUUGAGAUGGGUGCCCCUCAUUUGUGCUAUCUUUGCUUAUUCUUGAAGCACCUUAGGCUUCCUCUCUCAUGACGUAUCUAAGUGGCCUGCAGUGGUCUACCUCUUCAACCUCACUCCCUGGGACCAUAUCUUAUUGCAGAGGGAUGUGACUGAGUGCAGCAGGCCAGUCAUCCUUCUGCUCUACCAUGCACAGGGCAUGGCCGUUUCUUCCUCGUGCUUGCUACCCCAUGAUUGCAAGAUGGUUGCUGUACUUCAAAGAAUCACAUCCUCACUUCAGGGUCUCAAGCAGGAAGGAAGGGGGCUAUGUUUUCUUUUUAAUCAAGGAGGAAAAAAGAAGCCCCAGGAAGAAUUCCUCUAUGCCAUAUUGGCCAGAACUGAGUCAUAUGGCCAUGUCUUGCUGAAAAGAAGGCUAAAUAGCAAGUAUCUGGCAAAGCAGAAAGAAUUGUCACAAUGGGUUGGAUCAUGAUUCAUGAGCUGGUACAUAGCCCACUGAGGCAAACUCGGGAUUUUGUUAGGCAGAAAGAGGUUAUAGCUUUUGACCUGUCAAGUAAUAGUAUCUACCACAUUGAAUUCCACUUUAGAAAACAUAGAUACAAAACACACUCCUGAAGAUUGCACCAACAGGAGGCAAAAUUUAAGGAGCAAGAGAAACUAUACAUGUAAGUGAUAAAAUAGUAAUAUUUAUCUGUUGGGACUCAAAUAGGUGUUUUGUCCCAGAAUUAUCUCAAUUCAUCAAGACUUCUUUGAAACUCCUUGCCCAUGCUUAGCCAUUUAUUCUAGGUAGAACAGUAAACGAAUCUCCAUUCUUAGAAAAGGUGGGCCUAGCUUCAUAGAACCGCACACAGCCCUAUUAUGUAAUAUAGCUUGGAAACUGUAUGAGCUAGUAAGUUUGAUUUGAUAUGUUUGAAAGUUUGGCAAAGCCUUAGUGAUAGGUUUGGGCAAAAAAAAGAUGAAACUCCAUAAUUAUUGUUUCCAUUAGCUAAAUCCAUCAGCUGCAGAUUUGGAGAAUACUUGUUUCAGGUAUUUGGUGAGCGACUCUCUUCUCUGAAGGUAUUCAAUCCCAAAGUGCACAUCAAAUCAUUUCCACUAAAACGCAUAAAGGUCUUGGUCAAAUGUGACUCAUGUGUAUUUAUCUUAUCCUUUUGCUGAAAUGAUUUCACCCAAACUUAAAAUAGAUAGAGGUUAGUUGACUCAGAAAAUUAGUGCACAGGAUGAAUAAAGAUAGUAUCAUGAGCUGGACAUCCAUCAGGUCAAUGCAUACUGCUCACUGAUAGCUUCCCCACCAACCUCUGUACUAUACCAUCACUGUUUUGCUAUCCUUCAUCCAUCUGCUAUGGAUGUAUCAUUUUUUGGUCCUCAGGCUAACAAUUUUCAUAGGAUUUAGGAUAGAAGUCAAAAUCGGAGUGUGCCAGAAAGUGAGGAUUAAAGGACGCAGGUCUCCAGGAUUUGUUCUCUCAUGGAAAGAACCCAAAAACCUGUCUCUGAAUUUGCUUCUUCCCUGCAAAGUAAAACAGGAUCAGGCCCUGGUCCCAGUUAGGAAUAUGUGCCCCCUCUAUCCCCUAUCCCCUUAGAAGCCAAGUGGGAACCAGAAAGAGGCAGUGGGAAAGGAGGAACCUGGGACAGCUUCCAGUCUAAGUAGGUGUUUGGGGAUUCUCCACGAGGUCCAGGUUAGAUCCCCAAGGAAAUGCACAGAACUACUGGUCAAAGACACAGAUAAUAGUAAAGUGCUUGUGUUUGCCACACAUUCUCUUCUGUGCAUAUGUAUUCCUUGGAGGUUUUUCAGGGAAGUGUGGUAGGCCAAGGAUGGGAUCUGAGAGUUUCUAGAUCACCUAACUAAUUACCAUUUCCUACUUUUUCAACCAUUUAUUUCCAGCUCGUUCCUCCUACAAAGCCAGUAAUCUGGCGCUGUAUACCCUUGAUUAUAGCAGGGAAAGACUACAAAGCAUUCUGAUGUAAAGACACAUGCACAGAUAAUGUAGUAAAAAGAAUAUAGAUUAGCAACACAUAGGUCUGGGUUUAAAUCUCAGUACAGCUGCUUUUUCAUUCUGUGACCUUGGGUAAUUUAUAUAUUAGCCUCUCUGAGCCUCAGUUCCCUUACUGAGUCAGUAACACUUACCUCAGGGAGUUAGUAUGAGGAUUAAAUGUAUAAAUGAAAUAAUUAACCACUUAUAAAAUGUGCCAGACAUCUAAUGUGUGUUCAACAAGUCUUAAUCUCUUAAGUGAACAUUCUUACUAGAAAACUAACUCACAACUCUAUUGAUGGUAAGCAAUAGAAAGGUAUUCCUAUAAAAAGACACUCAUCUUAUUUAUACAUAAACAAUAGGAAAAGAUGGCGACAAUGACCUUGCAUUUCUAGGCUAGUUUUGUCACCAUAAUAUAAAUUAAUUGAAACAGACAAACUACAUUAACCAAGUAUUUAUUGUUUUUAUUUCAGGGUUUUAAAAAGCAGCAGGUUUAAGAGCUGACCAUAUCUGAAAGACUCUAGAAUAGCAGAGGAUUGAUUAAAGGUCUGUGGCCACAGAUUGGAUGUGUUGAUUUUAUUUCCCCAAAGGUAUCCACAUAGCAACUUGGCAGUACACACAUAUCCCAAAUAUAUGUACACAGUGUUUACAGAAAAUACUAAUUGUACCCUUACCUAAAAUGUUAGGUCCCAUUUUCAUUUUAAAGACUCAUUAUGCUUUUCAUGAACUAACACUUUUGUUCAUUUCAAUUCUGUCAUGAAUUCGAAAGAAGGACACAGCAAAUAGGUACUUAACUAAAGUAAGUGCUUUCUCCCAUGGUUUUAUCAAUCCAAGUCUAUGGACAUAAUACAGAAUCAAGAAUCCAAGGAAACUGCUCUGAAUUUCACUGUAAGCAUAGCUCAUUUUUUUGACCUGUUGAUUGCAGUUAAUUUAACGUCACGACCUGCACCUCAGAAUCUCUCAUGUCCCCUGCAGCUUUGUCAAGAUGCUUUGUAUAUAGCUGGUACCCAGAGAAGGUUUGCCACAUUGCACGGAGUUGAUCACCCAUUUUAUUCACUGGAUUUGGCUUUGAGCAACUUACACUUUUUUCUCUCCAAAAAUUAAGUCCACCCACGAAGGAAAAAGGCAGAAGGAUGCUGUGGCAAAAAUGCUAUCCUGGAAAACAGAUCUUGGCCCUGGUCCCAGCUCUCUGUGACUUUGGACACAUCAGUUGAUCUUUUUAGAUCAAAUUUCCCCAUAAAAGGGGGUACUAGACAAGAUGCAUGUGCCAGACUGCCAAGGCCAAGGCACACCCUAAGCCACUCAUAGUAAUAUCCCUGGAACUGUAGACCCUUGCAGAGAGAUUAUAGAAGUGAUUUUGAAUAAUUAUUGAGUUAAGUGCUAGCAUUCCAGCAUGACCGCUUCAAAAGAGGUAAUGCAUAUUUUUUUUUGUAUUUUUUUGGCUUUUUUUAAAGUUACAUUACUUUAGUGUUAUAUGUCAUAUAGUCAUUAGGAAUUCCAAGAGAGCAAAUGUCAACAAAGGUCUGAAGUUGUUUGGCAUUUUAUCAAUCAUUAUUUAGAGUUUUCUUUUUUUCUUUUUUUUUUCUUAAUGUGGUUAGGGACACAGAGGUUCAUGUGAUGUAAUAAGAAAGAAAUAAAGGAAGCUUUAUCUGCCGCUCUUUCAACCUCAUCCACUCAACACUUACCCCGUGACAGACCCCAAUACUCUUAAUGAAUUCCCAAGGUUACGAAAGAACUUGGAAGAUCUUACAUUCCUACAUGGUGAUUACAGAGGCUCACAUUUUGCCAAGUCAUAUGCAGGUGGCUGAAAAGUAAGUUUACUUUAUCUGCAUUUCAUAUUACACUUGUUCUUUCUUAUGAAUGUUUCUUUCAUAGUCAUGCAAAGUACUCAAUCAGUAAUUCCCCACCAAAAUGGUUGUUACAUAAGCGGCCGUGCAACAAUGCAUAUGUCAGCUCAGAUUCAUGUCAGAGAAAGUUCUCUAGUUUAUAUAACUCACUCCCCAGCAGCCAGUACACAGUUCAAAAAGUGUGGGCCUUUACAUUAUGGCGGGAGGGAGGUUAUUUUGUUUUGUUUGUUUUUUUUUAACACAUCACAUAAAUACACUUCCUUUCUCCUUUGUAACGUAUGGGAUACAUGGAAUUCCUAACUCACACAGAUCUCACUGUAGACCCAAUGAAUGGCACGGAGCCGACACAAACACCCACACACUUGUCUCAGUUACAGAUCUCUGCUAAAGACCAGAAGUUGGCCAUUACUAUGAAUAUACACUUCUGUUGGAUUUCUAUGGUAUUUGGUUUCAUUAGAUUGUAUGUUAAGUUAAAUAUGUUUUUUAAAGUUUCAUUCUCCUACCUCAAGUUACGGUGCAUCAAGGGGUCUCAGAGAGAAGUGGAGCUGCCACCUCAAUGUCCCGACCCCAGAGAGGAGCCUCUCAAGCCACCCCAAGGCAGCUGAGCCCCAGCUCGCACCAGAUCACUGUGGAGCAGAACCAAUUUUUAAAUGUCUUCAUCUGGUCCCUCCUACUUUUAUGGUGCUCUGGGGGUGGUGAGAAUCGGGAUGCACUGAAAGCUGCUGGGACAUCUGACUCUUUAUUUUCUUGGCUCUACGUGUCUUAACUCUGCACCAAUCCUCCCGACUGUGCAGAAUUUCACUUUGGAGAGCAGAGGCAAACGGAGAUUCACACAGAGGGGCAGGAGCCGUCAAUGCUGUCUAGUGAGAGGAGAGAAGAGGCAUUGUAAGUCCCCAUAGCACUGCUGUUGGGCUACCCUGCCAGUCAAUGCCACUUUUCCCACAGGCUCCAGCCUCAACUUCCCCUGGUGCAAUAUGAUGAUGGGAAGAAGGGCUCCUAAGAGGAAACUGAUUUAAGUAUCUCUGUUUUUCAGAAAACACUUCCAAUUGCUCUCUCAAGAAUGCGUUUCUAUUUCAUGAGUUGAUGUCAUAUUUUUAGGGGGAGGGAUGUAUGGAGAGAGAAAACUUUCAAAUAUCUGGAAAUCAGUGGUAUGAUGAGCCCUGUUCUCUGCUGCUCCAAGUACAAUACCAAAGCAUGUGGUGGAAGUGAUGGGACAGAUUUGGUUCCAUAUUAGAACUUCCUACUUGUAUGUUGAAUUUUAACGGAUGGCUGGGAGUAACAUCCACUUUACGGAGGUAUAUAAGCAAGCUCCAGACAGUAACUUGGUAUGGAGACUAUGCCAAGGAUCCCAUUGUCAGAAGGGAAGUAUGGUGUUGGGGAAGGAUAUUUCUCCCUCCCCUCCCCAUAGUGCCAUCCUCUGCUUAUAGAGGAGGAAAUAGCUACCCAAGCUUUAGCCCCUCCCGCUGCCCUAUGGAAGGAAUACAUUCCACUCUGAACUAAAGCUGGCAUCUUUGGUGCCACAUUUUAACAGAGGGUCGAGUUACUGUAUCUUGAGAAAGACAUGGGUACGUCAUGCUUCCUUCCACUAUCUGUACCCACUCAAAGUGAAUCGUUCCCCACUGUUCUCUUUAAAUUUUUGCUUCAUGUAGCAGAGAUUCAGGGUCUCGCUCCCCUUCUCCUCCUGACACAAAAGGCAGUCAGACUGAACAGUGGGAUAAGCCCUGAAGAUGGCUGGGAACAGCCACCGGUGGAAAGGGAACCCUUCUUUGCUGCCUUUCUCAUUGCCCCAGCACUGCUAAGUGCAGCAGAUUGGCCUUUUUCACAUUGCAGGGAUGAGAUCCUCAGGAUUUGAGAGGGUUCAUCUGGCUUCCAGGAUUAAACUGUGUUUUCAAAUCGAUCUUUUGACAAAGCCCAACAAUAGAGUUAUUUCUGUUUACCCAUGCAUUUCUAUUAACCCAAGGUGGUGCCUCCUUUCCCACUCAGCUAUCAAUCUUUGUAUGUAUAAUCAAACCCCCAAAUAUAUCUCCAACCAAACUUUCACAACUACAGUGGCACACUCACACAGAGUGAUCUAAAUGGAACACGGGUUUUCUAUAACCACAACCAAACCAUAAACGGCAUUUUAUAUACAUUAUCAUCCAGAAAGCAAUCAGAUUUUUUCAUAGCAAAUGGUAAGAUAUAAUAAAAGGAAAUUUGAGAAUUAUCAUAUAACUUAUAAUGUCUCUUUUAGCCCUAAGGUCCUAAGAUUCAGUGACAUGUGGUGUUUUCUCUUUUUCCUACCACUUUUUCAGCUUAAUUAUUAUCUACAGAGAUUAAAAACACAACUAAAAUUUCUGCAGAUUCACAGUGCUAUUUCAGAAUAGAUUUUACCCCUUAGUACCUUCUAUUUAAUCAAUUAAUGAGAAUACUUUGGAGCCCACUGCAGAAACUAUAAAUUCCAAAUGGUUCCUCAGAACAUGUCAUCAUCAAACCAGUUAGGCUGGCGUUGGUAAAUACCACAGCCUGCAGUUGCCAUGUGUUACAAAAACAAUAAACAGAUACCCUUCAUACCUCUCCCUUCCCUAAAACAAUUAUUCCUAUAAAAGUCUGUCUCUCCAGAUUUUUUGUUGUGGUGUUUCUGAUACCAGUACAAUCAGAAAGUAAUGAAAGUGUUCACUGAAAGGAAGUUUUCACUGAGCAUUGCAGGCCAAUGAGAAUGCAGAUUAACUCAAAUAAACUUUGGAAUGCCAGCCAAACCCAUGAAACUUGUCAGCAGUUCAUCUACUGAGAGUGGUUAUGCUUUUUCAGUAGUACCUUAUCCUGAAAUAACCUGAUGGAAAAGCCAGUGUCGGAUGACACAUGACAUCAAGUGUUCAAUGCAAAUUCUGCUGGCAUACUAUCCUGUUUGACUCCCUUGCUCUUGAGCCUUCCACAGUUGGUAAUAAGGAACUGAGUACCUUUGCAAUCUCCAGUAAAACAUGUGUGAUGGAAAUGUAAUUCCUUAGGGAAGCAAUUCCCAAUGGCAUACAUAGAUUUGAUUUUUGGGUUGAAAAGUAGUAAAUGACGAAUUGAAGUUUCUUUUUCUCUACUUAAAAACUAUUCUUGACAUUAAUUUUACUUGUAUUUGUUAACCAGUUUACAUUUUAUUUUGUUACUGAGACACUCAAAAGUGUCUAUAUUUUAGUCAAAGCUAAAACUGAAAGACUUUAGCAAAUUGACUUUUCUCUUUCUCCCAACAAACAUUAACUCAGUAUUUUACCUAGCUUUAUUUUCAAAUAUGGAGUUUUAUAGCACCUUGAUUUAUAGCUGGGCGUAAGAAAAGGUUAUGUCAGCAUUUACAUUAUAAGGCCAUGGUUUUGUGGUUUAUAACUAAGCCAUAAAAAUAAUUCUGACUAAAAUUUGGAAUGCCAGUUUCCACCUUGAAACGCAAGUGUGUCCCUAGCUGUAUGACCACACACACACACACACACACACACACACACAUCAGAAUUCAACAACUGCUGUUUUGUAUAAUACAUUUAUUCAAUAUAUUGCUUUGAUUAAAAAUGAACUCAAAGAAAGUCAAGGCUAUGAAGUGAAUUCAAACAAAGCUGUCAUCUAAUGGUAACAACUUAUAUCCUAAGAUAUAUUUUAGUAGAUUUGAAAGUUGAUUUAAUGACAAAAGAAUUUACUGUAUAGUUUUCAUAGUUAAAGAAUAAAGGACAGAAAGAUGAAGUGAGACCUCCACACACAAAAAAAUAGCCUUUUCUUAAUAAGAAAUGUUUGCAACAUUCUUCCACGCUGUAUGGUAGAUAUUCUCUGAAUCUCUUUGCAGAUGUGAUCUAACGUCCUUGAACACAUUUAUUACAAUCCAUCAUCUACAUGGCAACAGUCAGGGCCAUGCUCAUAAACCAGAACUGGUGCUAGAUCUGGUAAGUCAUUAAGCAAACAUAUUCCUGUGUUGUGCGUGGCGUGCAUGCCCACUGCCUGCCUAUAAAACGGAAAUAAGAUUUCUGAUUUGCAAAUUACCUCCUAAGACAUGUAAAGCUAGCUCCUUUAAUCCACAUUACUCAUUUUUGUAUUUUGACUGUUUCAAAUGCUAAAACAGACCUGAAUACAGUUUCCACAGUUCUCUUUAUAAUUAUUGUAUUUUUCAUUUACAUGAUCAUGAAACCUGUUAGCAAGUGAGAAACAGAAUCAUUUUCACUGAGACAAAAAAUAUUGAGAAUUAGGGGGAGAAACUCUGAAGCAAUAUAAACAACAGAGUCUAAUCUUAUCAAAGAGAGAAGGCAGUUGGUGAAUCUGAAAGAUCACUUACUUACCACUCAAUCAUAGAACUUAUACCCCCAAAUAGGAUUUAAGAAAGAAAAAAGCAAUUUAGUAGGAACUGGAAGUUAUAGGGCAUAGGUCUGCUUUAGUUGGUGACAAAAAUUAUGCCUCAGAGGUUAAGAGCAUGGAUUAGGGUGCUGGGUUGCCUGGUUUAAAUCCUAGCUCUGGCACUUACUACUGCAUGGUCCUUGACCAGUUAUUUAACUACUCUGUGCCUCGGCUUCCCAGUGUGGAAAGCAGAAAAACAGUAUCUCCCUUACAGAGAGGCUUUAAAGUUUAAAUGCAUUAACAAAGGGAAAAUCCUUUCAAUGUUGACACAUCAUGAGUGUGACAUAAGUAUUACCUAUUAUUUUUAUUAUGUGACCAAAUGUGGAAGAAAAAUUCUAUAAGAAAGUAGUAACAUUGUUUAGUCUUUCAAAAAUCAUAUAUUCUCCUCCAAUCCUGGCUCUCUGCAAUUCAAGAAAUCCUAACAAAUAGAAAACCUUUGUACACAGGAGAAAACGGAGAUGAGCAAAGGCAAUAUUUGGCUUAUUUGUUAUAACCCUAAUAAAACAAGACUGCUUGAAGAAAUAGACCAAAUUGUGGAAUGUUUAACAUUGAUCCAGGACUGGCUCUUCUGAGGAAAAGAUAUAAUAUUUAUCAUGUGGCCAAUUUUGUCUGUGAAGAUAAGGAGGAACUAAUCGGUCUCAACUUCAUGAUGUUGCUUAAAGGAGCAUAUAAAUGUACGAUCAUAAGUAUCCUUUAAAUGAAGGGGUUGGUUUUAUGACUGCAGAAGUGAGAAAGAGUAAGGUCAUUUAGCCUGAGCAACACAGCAAAACCUUGUCUCUACUAAAAAUUAAACAAAACAACCAAAAAAUCACUCAGGUGUGGUGGCGCAUGCCUGUGGUCCCAACUACUCAGGAGGCUGAGGUGGGAGGAUUGCUUGAGCCUGAGAGGUGGAGGUUGCAGUGAGCCUUGAUUGCGCCACAGCACUCUAGCCUGGGUGACAGAGCAAGACUGUCAAAAAAGGAAAGAAAAGAAAGAAAAGAAAAAGAAAGAAACUAAAACAGAAAGAAAAGAAAGAAAGAAUGGGAGAGAGAGAGGAAGGAAGGAAGGAAGGAGAAAGAAGA